CAUAGCCUAUUGGCCAUAUGGAAUACACAUCAUCAUACCUUACAACAUCUAUAUAGCAUUGUCAUUUGAGUCUUCAUUGCACAAUGUCUACCUCUUCCAUAAACGGUUGGUGUCUCUCUUCUUUGUCCUCUGCCAAAACUUCUAUCAAGAAGGCUACAUUGCGCCCCGUUGUCGUUGCAACUCUUAACUCUUCUUCUUCUUCUUCUUCUUCUUCAUCUUCUUCUUCUUUCCCUUCUUUGAUUCAAGACAAGCCGGUUUUCGCUUCUUCUUCUUCUCCUAUCAUCACCCCAAUUUUGAGAGAAGAAAUGGGAAAGGGCUAUGAGGAAGCUAUUGAAGAACUCCAAAAAUUGUUGAGGGAGAAAAAUGAAUUGAAAGCAACAGCAGCUGAAAAAGUUGAGCAAAUAACAGCUCAACUCGGAACAACAUCAACAUCUGAUGGUGUUCCAACAUCAGAAGCAUCAGAGAGAAUCAAAUCUGGUUUCCUUCACUUCAAGAAAGAGAAAUACGACAAGAAUCCAGCUUUGUAUGGUGAACUUGCCAAAGGCCAAAGCCCACCGUUUAUGGUGUUUGCAUGCUCAGACUCAAGAGUGUGUCCAUCUCAUGUGCUAGAUUUCCAGCCAGGGGAAGCUUUUGUGGUUAGAAAUGUUGCUAACAUGGUUCCACCAUAUGACCAGGCAAAAUAUGCUGGAACUGGAUCUGCUAUUGAGUAUGCAGUUCUGCAUCUCAAGGUUUCCAACAUUGUGGUAAUUGGGCACAGUGCUUGUGGUGGUAUUAAGGGACUAUUGUCUUUUCCAUUUGAUGGAACAUACUCUACUGAUUUCAUUGAGGAGUGGGUGAAAAUUGGUUUACCAGCAAAAGCAAAGGUGAAAUCACAACAUGGAGAUGCACCUUUUGGAGAGCUAUGCACACAUUGUGAGAAGGAAUCAGUGAAUGUUUCACUUGGAAACCUUCUAACAUACCCAUUUGUGAGAGAGGGUUUGGUGAACAAAACAUUGGCAUUGAAAGGAGGAUACUAUGACUUUGUUAAAGGAUCUUUUGAGCUUUGGGGACUUGAGUUUGGACUUUCUAACACUUUCUCCGUAUGAACAUCAACCAUAUAUCAAUCACCACAUCUCUAAGUAUUCUCCUCCCUAAAAUGUACUAUCAUGUAAAAGAUGUGGCCACGAUUCUACAUUGGAAGCUAUAAUGUGAAGCUUAGAGGUCCUGUGUCUGCAAUGAAGAGGCCUACCUACUUUAAUCAUAUGAUAUUUUAUGUGUAUGAGAUACUAUGAAAUGAGAUUAUGUAAUAAUAUGAUAUUUCAUCUUAAAUAAGAGUUUGGAAUUCCCAUCAGAUUUUUUUUCUU